rnacentral:rRNA from 1 species
UACAGAGGGUGCAAGCGUUAAUCGGAAUUACUGGGCGUAAAGCGCGCGUAGGCGGCUACUUAAGUCGGAUGUGAAAGCCCCUGGCUUAACUGGGGAAGUGCACCCGAAACUGAGUAGCUAGAGUACGAAAGAGGGUCGCGGAAUUCCCGGUGUAGAGGUGAAAUUCGUAGAUAUCGGGAGGAACACCGGUGGCGAAGGCGGCGACCUGGGUCGAUACUGACGCUGAGGCGCGAAAGCGUGGGGAGCAAACAGG